CCUACGGGUGGCAGCAGUGAGGAAUAUUGGUCAAUGGGCGCGAGCCUGAACCAGCCAAGUCGCGUGAGGGAAGACGGUCCUAUGGAUUGUAAACCUCUUUUGUCGGGGAGCAAAAGACGCCACGCGUGGCGUUCCGAGAGUACCCGAAGAAAAAGCAUAGGCUAACUCCGUGCCAGCAGACGCGGUAAUACGGAGGAUGCGAGCGUUAUCCGGAUUGAUUGGGGUGAAAGGGUGCGCAGGCGGAAGAUCAAGUCAGCGGUAAAAUUGAGGGGCUCAACCUCUUCGAGCCGUUGAAACUGGUUUUCUUGAGUGAGCGAGAAGUAUGCGGAAUGCGUGGUGUAGCGGUGAAAUGCAUAGAGAUCACGAAGAACUCCGAUUGCGAAGGCAGCAUACCGGCGCUCAACUGACGCUCAUGCACGAAAGUGUGGGUAUCGAACAGGAUUAGAUACCCCUGUAGUC
rnacentral:rRNA from 1 species